rnacentral:rRNA from 1 species
GAUGAACGCUGGCGGCGUGCCUAAUACAUGCAAGUCGAGCGAACGGACGAGAAGCUUGCUUCUCUGAUGUUAGCGGCGGACGGGUGAGUAACACGUGGAUAACCUACCUAUAAGACUGGGAUAACUUCGGGAAACCGUAGCUAAUACCGGAUAAUAUUUUGAACCGCAUGGUUCAAAAGUGAAAGACGGUCUUGCUGUCACUUAUAGAUGGAUCCGCGCUGCAUUAGCUAGUUGGUAAGGUAACGGCUUACCAAGGCAACGAUGCAUAGCCGACCUGAGAGGGUGAUCGGCCACCCUGGAACUGAGACACGGUCCAGACUCCUACGGGAGGCGGCAGUAGGGAAUCUUACGCAAUGGGCGAAAGCCUGACGGAGCAACGCCGCGUGAGUGAUGAAGGUCUUCGGAUCGUAAAACUCUGUUAUUAGGGAAGAACAUAUGUGUACGUAACUGUGCACAUCUUGACGGUACCUACUCAGAAAGCCACGGCUAACUACGUG